AGAGUUUGAUCAUGGCUCAGGACGAACGCUGGCGGCGUGCCUAACACAUGCAAGUCGAGCGGGGACUUAUUGGAUGAGAGCUUCGGCAGGAUUCCGGUAAGUUCUAGCGGCGGACGGGUGAGUAACGCGUGAGCAAUCUGUCUCAGACAGGGGGAUAACGCAGCGAAAGUUGCACUAAUACCGCAUGAGACCACAGAGCCGCAUGGCUAAGGGGUCAAAGGAGCAAUCCGGUCUGAGGUGAGCUCCGUCCUAUUAGGUAGUGGUG
rnacentral:rRNA from 1 species